CAGUCCUGGAGCCAGAGGCUGGCACUGCACGUCAGAUGGGGGAGGAUCUAUGUUAGGCAUCAGAAAGGUGGUUUAAGCAAGAAGGCAAGAGCUUCUGCAGACAGUGUUGCAAUUAGACACCUGAUUUUUACUGCCAAAGGGACCAUCAGAGCACCUCUACCUACCCUGCCAGACAUCUAUACCAGAAGAGUACGGACAAGGGCCCAAAAUGUUUUAAAGGACAUUUCACGCCCAGACCACGGACUGUUUAAACCAUUGAGGUCAAGCAGAAGUCUCUGUUCUCACUUGAGGCAGGUUAUUGAGAGGGGGCGAGUGUCACUGCGUAAGCCCCCUACUGCAGGCGAGAAAGCCAUGUUGAUUUGAAUAUUGAUUGAUAAAUACAAUAAAGGCCAUGUAACACA